GUCUAUGGCCACACCACCCUGAACGCGCCUGAUCUUGUCUGAUCUCAGAAGCUAGCAGGGUCGGGCCUGGUUAGUACUUGGAUGGGAGAACUAGGGAGUGUAUCGUGUAUGUAUGAAUG
ensembl:rRNA 5S_rRNA 5S ribosomal RNA